GGCAAUUCUCUACAGGUGUUUUACUGCUAGAAGAUCAUGCUCCUCAUUUCCUAAAGACUCACAGAGAACAGAAGACUGGUUGCAUGAGAAGUGAAUAACAAGAGGUUAUAGUGCUUAUUUGGGUUGGGGGCAAACAUGACAUUUCAAUAUUAACUUGUUUAUUUAUUUAUUUUUCGGUUAUACAUCAUUGCUGGUAUAUGUACUUUAUUUUAUUUUUUAGAGAUGGGGGGUCUCGCUAUGUUGACCAGGCUGGUCUCGAACUCCUGGCAUCAAGCCAUCCACCCAUCUUGGCCUCCCAAAGUGUUGGUAUUACAGGUGUGAGCCGCUGUGCCCAGGCUAACUCGUUUUUUUUCUUUGGUCCAGCAAGGCUUGUGAAUGUGUCUGGGAACGACGUAAAAUCUGGCUUGAAAAAAAAACUCUCAACUCAAAGCUCCAAGACAGAGCUGAGAUGCUUUUGAAGGAGACAGCCUCAUUGGUCUCCUUGUCGGAGAGGCCCCAACUUAUCAGUAAAUAUUGGUUAACAUCUAUCAUCUGGUGGGACUAAGCAUGGAACCAAUUGCCCUUGCACAGAAGGCCACGUAUUGUAGUAUUCAACAUAGAUGGAAUGACCAGGAAAGGCAAAACCACAGAUAUAAAAAGUAGAUUAAGGCCAGGAUUUCAAGCCUGAACUCGAGAGGUAGCCCAGACUGGGGAUCUGCACUGGGAAGUCAUCCGCAAGGACGUGGUGGCUGGAGCUAUAGACAAAGGGAAAGUUAUCCAGGGAGAGUGAGGGUGUGGAAUGGGGAGAGAGAGGGCCCGCAACACAGUCCUAAGGAACACCAGCACUUUUUUUUUUUUUUUUUUUUUUUGAGACGGAGUCACCCAGGCUGGAGUGCAGUGGCAUGAUCUCGGCUCUUUGCAACCUCCACCUCCCAGGUUCAAGCAAUUCUCCUGCCUCAGCCUCUCAAGUAGCUGGGAUUACAGACGCCCACCACCAUGCCCAGAAUUUUUGUAGUUUUAGUAGACACGGGUUUCACCAUGUUGGCCUGGCUGGUCUUGAACUCCUGACCUCAAGUGAUCCACCUGCCUAGGCCUCCCAAAAUGCUGGGAUUACAGGCAUGAGCCACCGUGUCUGGCCCAGUUAUCGCUUUCUGAGAGAGGAGUUUCUCCAAAGUUUUCAGUUUGACAUAAUCAAUAUAACCAUCCUGCGUAUUAGGGGAUGGCUGGUUCUUCACUCCUUCAGCAUCUUUGGUUAACCGGUACCUCGACUUGGCCAUAUCCACAGGAAGUUCCGCAGGGGCUUACACAGUCUUCCCAGACCCAGAAGCACAAUCUCCAAAAGAGUGAACAAGAGACGGAACCCACUGACCCCAAACAUGGCUUUUAGAAAGAUGAUCUUCU
rnacentral:lncRNA from 1 species